rnacentral:lncRNA from 1 species
UGAUUUCUCAAGAAUGGAAUAGUAUGAAAAAGGAUUGAUGAAAUUGUGAGAAAUGUGGGAAGUUGGAUUGCUAUUUAUAUUGGUAGAUAGAAAGUUCUCUUUCAUAUGAACUAUUGAGUAUUGACCAAAAUGGGAGGUCUUGAACGUGGUUGGGACACAAUGAAAUGAGAAGAUUAAUAAGGGUGUGGACGUGGCCUGAUUAUUACACAUCUACCAUUCCAUUAUAGACCAGCUUGCAGAGUUAUAUCUUGACAUUUAUAGUCUCUAUACGGUGUUUUUUUUUUUUUUUUUUUUUUUUUUUUUUUUUUUUUGGAAAGAAUGUGGGUCGAAUAAAACUUUAGUCUCACUAUACAAUCUAAAGUAACGAAAAUAAUGUAGAGGUACUAUUGUCCAUAUUCACAUUAAAUCACAUAUUCUACAGAAUCUACAACUUAUAAUCACUUGAAUUAUAAUUUAAACACCAACCAAACAUGCACAGAUGUAUAUAGUGAGUGAACGAUUAUGUCGUAGGGGUUUGAAUUCAAUAUAUAUAAGCCAUAAAUUUUUUCAAAUUAUCAUUGAAAUGAAGCCCAAACAGGGCUAAAUAAAAUUAUCAUUUUUAGUAUAAAUCGUCUGAUUUUCUUUGACAUGUAUGUAAUGGUCCAAUUAUUUUUCGAUCAUUUCAAAAGCCUCCCUCCAACGUAAAGGGGGUAUGGGUUUCAAUUGUAAGUUCAUUCAAGCCCUCAAACUUACUCAAUCUGUCUCUUUGAAUCGUUUCUUGAAAAUUCGCACAUUGAAAACGCUUUCCAGCUUAAAACCAUUCAACUCAAAGCUCUCAAAUUUAAUGAAAGAUGGCUUGGUGUCUGAAGCACAGAAACUGUUCUUUGGAAUGCCCCAAAGAAAUACAGUCACAUAUAAUGCUAUGAUAAGAGGAUAUUUUCAAAAUGGGUUUUUUGAACAAGCUAUGGAUUUGUAUAUUCAAAUGCCGGUUCGGGAUAUUUUCUCGUAUAAUACUAUGAUCUGUGGGUUAAUGCAAUAUGGGGAUGUUAAAGGGGCUGAAGAGAUUUUUGACUGUAUGGGGUGCACAGAUAUUGUCACUUGGAAUUCAAUGAUUUCUGGAUACAUUGAUAAUGAUUUGAUGGAUGAUGCAGUGAGAAUAUUUAAUGCGAUGCCUAUGAAAGAUGUUGUUUCGUGGAAUUUGGUUAUUGCAGGACUGGUGAAAGUUAAGGAGUUUGGUAAGGCUGAGCAAAUGUUUAGGGGGAUGAGCACGCGGGAUGUUGCAUCUGGUACUAUUAUGAUGAAGGGGUUUUUGGGAGAUGGUCGAAUUGAAGAAGCAAGGGAAUGUUUUGAUAAUAUGCCUAUAAAGGAUGUUCAAGCUUGGAAUACAAUGAUCAGUGGUUACGUGCAAACUGGACUUGUUGAGAUUGCGGAAGUCUUGUUUCAUAAGAUGCCUGAAAAAGAUGGGAACUCAUGGAAUGAAAUGAUGGAUGGGUUUGUAAGUGUUGGUAGGAUAAUUGAUGCCAUGAAGCUUUUCGAUGAAAUGCCUCAAAAAUGUGAAAGAUUAUGGAAUUUAAUAUUGUUGGGAUUGGUAAGGAACGGUUUGGUGAAAGAAGCUCAUGCCUUGCUAGAGAAAAACUCAUAUAGUAAUAUAGUGUCAUUGACGAAUGUGAUGAUUGAAUACUUUAAUAAUGGAAACGUUGACAGUGCCUUGAAAAUUUUUGAAUGGAUGCCUGUUCGUGACACAACUGUAUGGAAUGCCACUAUUUGGAUUGGGAGAAAAUGAUCGUAGCGAGGACAGUAUAAAAUUGUUCAUCAAAAUGAAAGAAGAUGGUAUGUUCCAGGAUGAAGCUACAUUUACAAGUUUACUUACCAUAUGUUCAAACCUUUCGUCCUUGAACCUUGGUAAAGAAAUUCAUGCAGAAGUAAUUAAGGUGGGGAUUAAUUGCUUUAUCCCUGUUAGUAAUGCAUUAGUGACCAUGUAUUUUAGAUGUGGAAAAAUGGACUCUGCAGUACUUGAAUUUUAUUCCAUGUCCGGCCAUGAUGUUAUUUCUUGGAAUUCUGUAAUUAGUGGAUUAGCUCACCAUGGGCAUGCUGAACAAGCUAUAGAGAUGUUUGAGAAAAUGAGAUUAUCAAAUGUGAAGCCUAAUCAAAUAACUUUUGUAGGUGUCCUUUCUGCAUGUGGCCAUGCCGGCCUUGUUGAACAUGGUAAAUAUUACUUUAAUAUUAUGCAAAAUGAGUAUUUUCUUCACUCAACAACUGAGCAUUAUACUUGUAUUGUUGAUCUGUUGGGUAGAUUUGGACUUAUAGAUGAGGCAAUGAAUAUUUUGGAUCAGAUGGGUGUAUUAGGACUAGAAGUUCCAGCAAGUGUUUGGGGAGCAUUGUUUGGAGCAUGUAGAAUGCAUGAUAACAUCACUAUAGGUGAGAUUGCUGGGAACAAGAUUCUGGAAUUAGAGCCUUCUAACUCUGGUGUGUAUAUGAUUCUAGCCGAAAUAUACCUGGCUAGUGGGAGGAAAGAUGAGGCAGAAAGGAUAUCGGUUCGCAUGAAAGAGAAUGGUGUUAAAAAGCAGCCUGGCUGUAGUUGGAUUGAGUCAAACGAUGGUGGCCAAGUAUUUCUUGCAGGGGACAAAACACAUCCUGAGUUUAAGUUCAUCUCCCAUGUUAUAGACUUGAUAUAUAUGGAGAUGGAGAUAGAACAUUUGAAAUCAGAUUUUGCUUCAUUCUCUGAAUCUAUAGAAGGCAUGUAGCUAAUAUUGAAGCAGCUGUUGCUUGAACAUUUGUCUGUGGAAAAUGAUCUAUUUUUUGGAAUAUUGAAGAAUGUGUAUUGAUGAGUAUCAGAAUCUCUAAAGAGAAGUCAUGGUCCAGCCAUCACGAGGAAGUGGAAGUGUAAUACAAAAGAAAACUAUUGAUUGCAGAAGGCAAUUGACCCCUCUUGGCCUAAUAUAAAUUGUGUGGCUAACAAAGGUAGUGGAAUGACAAUCUCAUGAUCAUAUUGUGGCUGACUACUAAAUUCAAAUAACAAUUUAAUCUCUUAGAUGGCCUAUUGUGUCCAGCCCCAUACAAGAUUCAGCAAAGGGACUGCUGAUCGCACAGGUAAGAUAUGUGUGUAUAAGUCAGAUGCUAUAACGGAUGAAUGAGUUUUCCAAACUGACUUCAUUUAUGAGGACAGGGAUGAAAAAUGAAGCCUCCUUUAUGGAUCUCUCCACCAUUAUGUCCCUGGAAAAUAACUUGAUUAACAUAAUGCUGGAACCUUGUAUGGCGAUGGUGAUUGCAUCAUUAGGCUGGAUCAUUCUUACGAGAACUGCGUAGAUGCUAGGCGGAAACAGACUUGAUGUUGGCCGUUCAUUCAAUUAUUCGGGGUGAAGGACCAUGGGGCGUUUAUCGAUGAACAGCGGAUUGACUGAGCUUUUGGCAUUGCUUUGUUUUUCUCUCCUUUCCUAUCAGCAAGUGCAGUCUUGAUUGAUAAUGGGAGUGGUUUGAAUGUUUGCACGUUGAGCAGUAUAUAGGAUAUUUUAAGACGCAUCAGAUACCACCUCUCUUUUGAUUGAUAUUCAGUAUCCCACAUCAACUGAGAAGGGAACCAGGUUGCUGGCUUACUUGCGUCUGAGGGUUUGCACCGUCGCUGUUAUCAGAAUAUGUUCCUCUCUUACUUCCUCACUGGAUACUUGCUCUUCUUUUGAUAUACAGACAUGGUCUUCCUAACUUUAGGGUCAUUAGAGACUUUUACGUGCUUCAUCUUUGUGUGGGAAGUAAAACUCUCCCAUUUAUUUCACCUCUUCAUAUGUCGCACUCUUUUAUGUUCGGAGGUCAGGUAUAUGUCCUUCGAUAUAUUAAAUAGUUGGGAAAUCCUAACCUCCAUUCUUGGUGGAACCUAAAAACUAAGUAAGGUUGUGUUGAUGCUUUGCUUUAUAAAAAUAAAGGGAUGCUAUUCAUGUGAUUAAUUUAGCAAUUUAAAUAAACACUUUCCCAGCUAUUAAAGCUGUAAAUUUGCAAAAAGAUUGAGUUCAGCUUGUUUUUCCGAUUUCACAAGUAAUUGUUUCGUAUUUUUCUCGCUGCUAUUCAUCGUGUUCCUAGUGGCUUUUGAUUUUAUGCAACAGUUUCAUUUUAUAUUUGUAAGCAGAGAAUUUGUGUACCAUUAAAACUUACCAAUCUAUUUUUUAAUAAAAAAAAAAUUCUACUCGUAUUUUCAUAGAAUUAUCUUUUUUCUUUAUUAUGGGGUAUGCUUGUGAUGUAUGAACUUGUUCAGUUUUGUUAAUCUCUGUUUCGAUACAUCAGAUAGAUAAAACCAAAUAUUGUGGCGUUAAGUGAUGAAAGUUCUUGGUCUUCUCCUCCCCAGAUUUUAAGGAUGAAUAAAGACUCAUUCGGUUUGGAUUGUUUGCAGUGAUGAUUUUACACUCGGGCAGAUUAAACAUUAUGGAUCCAUAAGAUGAAGCAAACCAUCACACAGUUAAAAUGAAGUAAAUCCUCUUCCAUUAAUUAUUUAAAUACGAAUUCAACCAAGAGUACUUUGAAGCUUUUCAGUACAACACUGAUCUUAUUCUGCAGAAAAUGCAAAUGCAGCAUUUCUAGGAAACAUAAAUCACUCAAUUGUAUAAUAUUUUAGGCAGUGUAAAUUUAAGCAACAUGUUUAAUUGUAGGCAUCGGGAUUUGCUUGGAGAUAAGCUUCUACAGUCUUGAAAAUUCCCAUGGCCUUCUCUUUACCUUCCUUGAUCUUCUCCUCGGAAAUCUGGGCAUCACCCUUGGUGUUGUAAAUGCUCCUGUUCUUGCAGAUAGAUCCUCCAUCAGCAGCCGGAACAAUUUUGACAUGGUAAUUGAUCGACUCCAGAACGUCCAUCAGAGCAUCCCCUUCAAUGAUGCUGUAGCUAUAUGUCAAAUUUUCUUUGUCAAUAUUUUCAACACGGUGCUUGACACUCUUGAACUGGCUUCCUUCGCCAAAAGUGAUAACCUUGAUGGUUCCGACUUCACCGUCUCCCUCAAGGAUUUCGACACUUUUGAUGGCUUGAGGCAGGAUCUUGGGGAUGAGGUUGUCAGAGUCGAGGAUAAUGGACUUGAACAACUUUCCGGCCGGGAUUGAUGAAGUGAUCUCCAUAUCAUAAGUGAUGGCACCCAUGAUGAUUUCUCAAGAAUGGAAUAGUAUGAAAAAGGAUUGAUGAAAUUGUGAGAAAUGUGGGAAGUUGGAUUGCUAUUUAUAUUGGUAGAUAGAAAGUUCUCUUUCAUAUGAACUAUUGAGUAUUGACCAAAUGGGAGGUCUUGAACGUGGUUGGGACACAAUGAAAUGAGAAGAUUAAUAAGGGUGUGGACGUGGCCUGAUUAUUACACAUCUACCAUUCCAUUAUAGACCAGCUUGCAGAGUUAUAUCUUGACAUUUAUAGUCUCUAUACGGUGUUUUUUUUUUUUUUUUUUUU